AACGAACGCUGGCGGCAUGCCUAACACAUGCAAGUCGAACGAGACCUUCGGGUCUAGUGGCGCACGGGUGCGUAACACGUGGGAAUCUGCCCUUUGCUUCGGAAUAACAGUUAGAAAUGACUGCUAAUACCGGAUGAUGUCGAAAGACCAAAGAUUUAUCGGCAAAGGAUGAGCCCGCGUAGGAUUAGGUAGUUGGUGGGGUAAAGGCCUACCAAGCCGACGAUCCUUAGCUGGUCUGAGAGGAUGAUCAGCCACACUGGGACUGAGACACGGCCCAGACUCCUACGGGAGGCAGCAGUGGGGAAUAUUGGACAAUGGGCGAAAGCCUGAUGCAGCAAUGCCGCGUGAGUGAUGAAGGCCUUAGGGUUGUAAAGCUCUUUUACCAGGGAUGAUAAUGACAGUACCUGGAGAAUAAGCUCCGGCUAACUCCGUG
rnacentral:rRNA from 1 species